UUUGCGGGGAAUGUUGUCUGGCUCGAGGACUUUUGAUUCAUUUCUCGCAUUCACAAAUCAUAAAUUUCAUACACACAUGUCUUUAGAUAUGCUAUUGUAUGGAUCUAAAAACACAUGUACAAACACAACACCAAAUAUACAGAUUUGAACGAAAGAUCUUUGAUAUUGAAUUAAGCUUUGUCGGAUCAGUCUUUAUUCCCCCCAAU
rnacentral:pre_miRNA from 1 species